AUGAAAGCACACACAGACAUUGGUUUGAAGACAUUCAAACUUCAAUGUUGUGGUUCUCGUAUCUAUGCCAGUCGUCUCAAGAGUUGGCUUCAAAUUGCUGUUAACACAGGGCUUAAAGAGCUUGUACUUUUGCUUCCUGUAGUACACGAUGCAAAGUACUACAACUUCCCCGGCCCACUUUUAUUCAAUGGAAGUGCAAAGUCAAUUAGAUAUCUAAAACUCAAAGGCUGUGCCUUCCAUCCCAUGGCUGGACUUGGUUGCUUGAGAAAGCUGCAUCUGUCUGAGGUACAUAUUACAGGGGAUGAUUUAGGGUGCCUUCUUUCCAAUUCUUUUGUUUUGGAGGAGCUGGAUCUUUGGCGAUGCAAUAAGAUCACUUGCCUGAAGAUACCGUCCCUGCUAAACCAGUUCAACCACCUGACAGUGUCUGGAUGCAAAACACUGGAAGCGAUAGAGAACAAAGCUCCGAAUCUUUGCACAGUUUGUAUUGAUACUGCUCUUGUACGACUUCCAUUUGGAGAUUCAUUUGCAGUGAAGAACCUAGAUAUGUUGUGGCCCUUUGAGUAUAACCUCGUUCAUUAUGCUUGUGUCAAGCUUCCAAGGAUUAUGCCAAAUCUUGAAACUCUUGGCAUUUCUUCAGCUGGUGAGGUUCUUGAUACACCAAAUUUAGCUGCCAAAUUCCUGCACCUCAAGCUAUUGGAGAUCUGUCUUUCUGUUGAAGAAGGGGCCUUUUCCCCAGCUUAUGAUUAUUGUUCUCUAGCUUUUCUCCUAGAUGCUUGUCCUGUGUUCGAAACUUUCCCAUUGUCUGUAUGGCAGUCUCGCAUGAAGCAUGAUCCUGUAUCUGGGGAUUCCUCGCUUCUCAGAAAGAUGCCAGGACAGCACCACGUCAGCAUCAAGAACGUGAAGAUCGAUGGCUUUUGCUCUGCAAAGAGCAUGGUUGAGCUAACAUGCCAUAUUCUUGACAAUGCAACAUCACUUGAGAAUCUUAAACUGGACCCCAUAUAUAGUGCUGGUUAUGAACAUGUUGAUAGGUUAGCUGUCCACAAAAUUGGUGGUUGCAGCCCUCCUACGGGACAGCGUAUGAUCAGAGAAGCCCACAAAGCAGUUUUGGCUACCGAACAAUACAUUGUGGGGAAGGUCCCCUCUAAUGUUAAGCUAAAUAUCAGGAAGUCAUGCAGUCAGUGCCAUUGUGUCAAA
rnacentral:rRNA from 1 species